rnacentral:rRNA from 1 species
UACGUAGGGGGCUAGCGUUGUCCGGAAUCAUUGGGCGUAAAGCGCGUGUAGGCGGUCCGGUAAGUCCGCUGUGAAAGUCCAGGGCUCAACCCUGGAAGGCCGGUGGAAACUGUCGGGCUAGAGUCCGGAAGAGGCGAGUGGAAUUCCCGGUGUAGCGGUGAAAUGCGCAGAUAUCGGGAGGAACAUCAAUGGCGAAGGCAGCUCGCUGGGACGGUACUGACGCUGAGACGCGAAAGCGUGGGGAGCAAACAGG